UACGUAGGGGGCAAGCGUUGUCCGGAAUCAUUGGGCGUAAAGAGCGUGUAGGCGGUCCGGUAAGUCCGCUGUGAAAGUCGGGGGCUCAACCCUCGAAUGCCGGUGGAUACUGUCGGGCUAGAGUGCGGAAGAGGCGAGUGGAAUUCCUGGUGUAGCGGUGAAAUGCGCAGAUAUCAGGAGGAACACCUAUUGCGAAGGCAGCUCGCUGGGACGUAACUGACGCUGAGACGCGAAAGCGUGGGGAGCAAACCGG
rnacentral:rRNA from 1 species